AUUGAACGCUGGCGGCAGGCUUAACACAUGCAAGUCGAGCGGAGAUGAGGUGCUUGCACCUUAUCUUAGCGGCGGACGGGUGAGUAAUGCUUAGGAAUCUGCCUAUUAGUGGGGGACAACAUUCCGAAAGGAAUGCUAAUACCGCAUACGCCCUACGGGGGAAAGCAGGGGAUCUUCGGACCUCGCGCUAAUAGAUGAGCCUAAGUCGGAUUAGCUAGUUGGUGGGAUAAAGGCCUACCAAGGCGACGAUCUGUAGCGGGUCUGAGAGGAUGAUCCGCCACACUGGGACUGAGACACGGCCCAGACUCCUACGGGAGGCAGCAGUAGGAAAUAUUGGACAAUGGGCGGAAGCCUGAUCCAGCCAUGCCGCGUGUGUGAAGAAGGCCUUUUGGUUGUAAAGCACUUUAAGCGAGGAGGAGGCUAUCUGGAUUAAUACUCUAGGAUAGUGGACGUUACUCGCAGAAUAAGCACCGGCUAACUCUGUGCCAGCCGCCGCGGUAAGAC
rnacentral:rRNA from 1 species